CAAGUCGAGCGGUAAGGCCCUUCGGGGUACACGAGCGGCGAACGGGUGAGUAACACGUGGGUGAUCUGCCCUGCACUCUGGGAUAAGCUUGGGAAACUGGGUCUAAUACCGGAUAGGAGCUCCUGCCGCAUGGUGGGGGUUGGAAAGGUUUACUGGUGCAGGAUGGGCCCGCGGCCUAUCAGCUUGUUGGUGGGGUAAUGGCCUACCAAGGCGACGACGGGUAGCCGGCCUGAGAGGGCGACCGGCCACACUGGGACUGAGACACGGCCCAGACUCCUACGGGAGGCAGCAGUGGGGAAUAUUGCACAAUGGGCGAAAGCCUGAUGCAGCGACGCCGCGUGAGGGAUGACGGCCUUCGGGUUGUAAACCUCUUUCAGCAGGGACGAAGCGAGAGUGACGGUACCUGCAGAAGAAGCACC
rnacentral:rRNA from 1 species